GAUGAAGAACGCAGCGAAAUGCGAUACGUAAUGUGAAUUGCAGAAUUCAGUGAAUCAUCGAAUCUUUGAACGCAUAUUGCGCUCUCUGGUAUUCCGGAGAGCAUGCUUGUUUGAGUAUCAGUAAACACCUCAACUUCCAUAUCUUUUUUGAAAUGGGAGUUGGACUUGAGUGAUCCUACCGCUUUUCCUCACCGAAAAGUGGCGGGUUACUUGAAAUGCAGGUGCAGCUGGACUUUUCUCUGAGCUAUAAGCAUAUCUAUUUAGUCUGCCUAAAAAACAGAUUAUUACCUUUGCUGCAGCUAACAUAAAGGAGAUUAGUUCUUGUGCUGACUGAUGCAGGAUUCACAAAGACGGCUUCGGCCGACUUUGUAAACUCGAUCUCAAAUCAAGUAAGACUACCCGCUGAACUUAAGCAUAUCAAUAAGCGGAGGA
rnacentral:misc_RNA from 1 species